rnacentral:rRNA from 1 species
GACGAACGCUGGCGGCGUGCUUAACACAUGCAAGUCGAACGGAAAGGCCCUGCUUUUGUGGGGUGCUCGAGUGGCGAACGGGUGAGUAACACGUGAGUAACCUGCCCUUGACUUUGGGAUAACUUCAGGAAACUGGGGCUAAUACCGGAUAGGAGCUCCUGCUGCAUGGUGGGGGUUGGAAAGUUUCGGCGGUUGGGGAUGGACUCGCGGCUUAUCAGCUUGUUGGUGGGGUAGUGGCUUACCAAGGCUUUGACGGGUAGCCGGCCUGAGAGGGUGACCGGCCACAUUGGGACUGAGAUACGGCCCAGACUCCUACGGGAGGCAGCAGUGGGGAAUAUUGCACAAUGGGCGGAAGCCUGAUGCAGCAACGCCGCGUGCGGGAUGACGGCCUUCGGGUUGUAAACCGCUUUCGCCUGUGACGAAGCGUGAGUGACGGUAAUGGGUAAAGAAGCACCGGCUAACUACGUGCCAGCAGCCGCGGUGAUACGUAGGGUGCGAGCGUUGUCCGGAUUUAUUGGGCGUAAAGGGCUCGUAGGUGGUUGAUCGCGUCGGAAGUGUAAUCUUGGGGCUUAACCCUGAGCGUGCUUUCGAUACGGGUUGACUUGAGGAAGGUAGGGGAGAAUGGAAUUCCUGGUGGAGCGGUGGAAUGCGCAGAUAUCAGGAGGAACACCAGUGGCGAAGGCGGUUCUCUGGGCCUUUCCUGACGCUGAGGAGCGAAAGCGUGGGGAGCGAACAGGCUUAGAUACCCUGGUAGUCCACGCUGUAAACGGUGGGUACUAGGUGUGGGGUCCAUUCCACGGGUUCCGUGCCGUAGCUAACGCUUUAAGUACCCCGCCUGGGGAGUACGGCCGCAAGGCUAAAACUCAAAGGAAUUGACGGGGCCCCGCACAAGCGGCGGAGCAUGCGGAUUAAUUCGAUGCAACGCGUAGAACCUUACCUGGGUUUGACAUGGAUCGGGAGCGCUCAGAGAUGGGUGUGCCUCUUUUGGGGUCGGUUCACAGGUGGUGCAUGGCUGUCGUCAGCUCGUGUCGUGAGAAGUUGGGUUAAGUCCCGCAACGAGCGCAACCCUUGUUCACUGUUGCCAGCACGUUAUGGUGGGGACUCAGUGGAGACCGCCGGGGUCAACUCGGAGGAAGGUGGGGAUGACGUCAAGUCAUCAUGCCCCUUAUGUCCAGGGCUUCACGCAUGCUACAAUGGCUGGUACAGAGAGUGGCGAGCCUGUGAGGGUGAGCGAAUCUCGGAAAGCCGGUCUCAGUUCGGAUUGGGGUCUGCAACUCGACCUCAUGAAGUCGGAGUCGCUAGUAAUCGCAGAUCAGCAACGCUGCGGUGAAUACGUUCCCGGG